UACGUAGGGGGCAAGCGUUGUCCGGAUUUAUUGGGCGUAAAGAGCGUGUAGGCGGCCAUUCAGGUCAGCUGUGAAAACUCGAGGCUCAACCUCGAGACGUCGGUUGAAACCGUUUGGCUAGAGUCCGGAAGAGGAGAGUGGAAUUCCCGGUGUAGCGGUGAAAUGCGCAGAUAUCGGGAAGAACACCCGUGGCGAAGGCGGCUCCCUGGGACGGUACUGACGCUGAGACGCGAAAGCGUGGGGAGCGAACAGG
rnacentral:rRNA from 1 species